AGAGAGAGAGAGAGAGAGAAGGAGCGGGUGGGGGGUGAUUAGGCAUGUAUGUUUCUUGGAGCAAUGUUUACCGUUUUGGCAUUGAAGCUAUAUGGUUUAAUAUUUCCCUUGUCUUUCCACCUCUGCUUGCUCAUAUGCACAUAGACAUGCUAUAUAUGACAAAAAAGCAAUUUAUGAGCUUAUGCUUAUAAGUAUUCCAUAUGGAUCCUUAAUAUCUAUUGCUGU
rnacentral:misc_RNA from 1 species